UUGAGAUAAUGAAAAUGAACAUGCGUCAGUCCACAUUGCUUUGGAUUGUUAUCGAGCAGAACCCAUUAUCAGCAUAGAUGCCUGUCCCCUGGAAUGGUCAUUGAAGCAUGAAGGGACGUAUGAAUCUUUAGUGCAUCUGGCACAUAACUAUCUUGCGACACCAGCUAGACCAGUGCCAUGAGAACACCUGUUCUCACUUUCACAUGACAUUGUAAACAAGAAGCAGG